CUUUCCCCAACUGUGUCAACUGUGUCCCGGCUGUGGCUGUUCUCUACAACCAUACUUUGGCUACACAGGCGCCUUCAAGUGCCUGAAAGACGGAGGUGGUGAUGUGGCCUUUGUCAAGCAUACAACCAUAUUUGAGUCCUGCCAAACAAGGCUGACAGGGACAAUACGAGCUGCUCUGUCCUGACAACACCCGCAAGCCAGUGGAUCAAUAUGAGCAGUGCUACUUAGCCCGGAUCCCUUCUCACGCUGUUUGUGCUCGCAGUGUGGAUGGCAAGGAGGACUUGAUCUGGAGAUUCUCAAAGUGGCCCAGGAACAUUUUGGCAAAGGCACAUCGAAAGAAUUCCAACUGUUCAGCUCUCCUUUGGAGAAAGACCUGCUGUUUAAGAAUUCUGCCAUCGGGCUGAUAAG